AUGAAAAGUCUCUACGUUCUCCUUGCUGUCACUGUCCUCCUCUUCCAUGUUGCUUCAGCUCAACCACCAACAACAAGGGACUGUGCUGCUCUGGGAGGAUACUGCCACGUGCCACUGAGUGAAGAAUGUCCCUCUGGUGAAGAUCUUCCAGCCAACUGUGGCAUCAAUGGAAGGUGCUGCAAAUCAUGAUCUGAGAUUCAGACCUUUGCUUGCGGAAAGAAGCCACCCUGAACAAUGCUUUGGAAAUAGCCAUGGAAUAAUCCAAUCAUCAGCUAAUUAAAGGCAGAUUAAAUGUGUACAUUGUAACCCUUUUCUAAUGCACAAUACAAGUUAUACUGUGGUCUUGAUAGAAUGUUGUCUCUUCUGGUUUCAGUUCGGUUCACAUUAAUGUGCACUCAAAAAUCAACCUGAGAUUUGGAACAAUUCCAAAUGAUACAGCUUAUUGUGGUCCUGUGCCAGAAAGUCAUUUCCAUUUUAUGGGAAAUCUAAGGGAUUUUCUGGAGCUGAGAGUUUAUGACUAGUUAAAGGUCAUUCGGUGGGGAUCAAACCCUGUUCUAUAGAGUCAUAGCACAAUGCUCAAAUCACUACACCACAUAGGCAGUGAUUCUCUUUGCAGCACUAAUAUUAACAGUUUUGAAGAAUGUAAGAAAUCUAUUGUGUUGCUGGAGUGGGGAUAAGAUGCAAGGAAAUGAAGUGGUGGGGCUAUCUCUGUGAUCAUGAUGACUUGCAAGUAAAACACCACUGGGCAAUCCACAUGGCCAAGAUUGCUAUCAUUCCAGGCUUCACAAUGGGGAGGGAAAAUGGCCAUCUUGUUCUAAAGUCCAGAGUGUUCACAGCAAGGAUGGGAUGCAGGCUCAGGAAGUGAACAGAGCUCAUACAUCCACGCAAUAUGGGUUUAGAGCCCUUUGGGGAAGGUGGACAAGUGCCACAUGAGAACUCUAUGGAUUCAUGAAGUGUAUCACAUAAUGAUUCGGUAGAAGAGGAGUCUACAAAUCUAUUUCCAUUGCUUGGGAUAAGUGUACAAACCACAUAAAAGACUCAGUCUCUAUCUCAAGAUGGAUGCUUGAAGUCAGAAUACAGUAGGUAUUGGU
rnacentral:lncRNA from 1 species